UACGGAGGGUGCGAGCGUUAAUCGGAAUUACUGGGCGUAAAGCGCGCGUAGGUGGUUUUGAUAAGCUAGCUGUGAAAGCCCCGGGCUCAACCUGGGAACUGCAGUUAGAACUGUCUGACUAGAGUACAGUAGAGGGUGGCGGAAUUUCCUGUGUAGCGGUGAAAUGCGUAGAUAUAGGAAGGAACAUCAGUGGCGAAGGCGGCCACCUGGACUGAUACUGACACUGAGGUGCGAAAGCGU
rnacentral:rRNA from 1 species